AACGAACGCUGGCGGCAGGCUUAACACAUGCAAGUCGAGCGCCCCGCAAGGGGAGCGGCAGACGGGUGAGUAACGCGUGGGAAUCUACCCAUCUCUACGGAAUAACGCAUGGAAACGUGUGCUAAUACCGUAUACGUCCUUCGGGAGAAAGGUUUAUCGGAGAUGGAUGAGCCCGCGUUGGAUUAGCUAGUUGGUGGGGUAAAGGCCUACCAAGGCGACGAUCCAUAGCUGGUCUGAGAGGAUGAUCAGCCACACUGGGACUGAGACACGGCCCAGACUCCUACGGGAGGCAGCAGUGGGGAAUAUUGGACAAUGGGCGCAAGCCUGAUCCAGCCAUGCCGGGUGAGUGAUGAAGGCCCUAGGGUUGUAAAGCUCUUUCACCGGUGAAGAUAAUGACGGUAACCGGAGAAGAAGCCCCGGCUAACUUCGUGCCAGCAGCCGCAGUAAGAC
rnacentral:rRNA from 1 species